CGCUGUUGCACUGUUGUAGCAGGAGAAACAGCAAGUUCUGGCCAAGCGCUCACCAUUCUGCAGAAUAAGGAUCAGAACUUUACUGAGCAGUUCAUCGUGGCCCUGUCGUUCGCCUACUUCACCAAAGCUCUGUCAGGGACCUACAUGAAGAGUGCCAUCACUCAGAGAGACACUUUGACCUGUCCGGCUCUCUCAUCGGACUCAUAGACGGCAGCUUUGAGAUGGGUAUCAACAAUAACAAUGAGUUGCUUGAGAAUUCAUGUAGUAAAAACUAGAUACACAAUACAGUAUGAUCCGUUUUUUUUGUGGUUCAGAGUCUGCUCUCAAUACUGUCCAGUUUUAUAGUUGUUCCUAUUAAUUGAUUGACUGGCGUUUGUCCAUGACUCUACUGUCAAACCCCUAACAUUGUUUUAUGUGCUGCUAUGUUGUUGCAGCCUAGUAUCCAAACUGAUAUGCCAUUUUUUGUUUAAAAAAAAAAAAAAUGCGCAUGGGUGCAGUUUCUUGUCCUCCUCGUUCCGCUGUGAAAGUACCGCACCAGCUCCGGUUUCCGAGGCGUCCACCUCUACCACAAAGGGACGAGUAGGAUCAGGAUGAACGAGGAAUGGGUUCGGAGGUGAAACGUCCCUUGAGCUCUAUGAAUGCCCUGUCAGCCUCGGGAUUCCAGCAAAAAACAGCUUGAGUGAGGUGGGACAGGGCCUUAUGUGUUCCGGAAGGGUUUUUGGAGAAGAUCAGGAUAUCGUCGAGGUAAACAAAGACGAACCGAUUCAACAUAUCCCUAAGAGUGUCAUUGAUCAAUGCUUGAAAGACUGCCGAUUUUAAGCGUUGCGGAGGUCCAGUUUGGUGAAGAAUUGGGCUCCUAGGGCCAACUCCAAGGCGGCGGACAUCGGGUUUGUUGAACAUGAGUGGAAAUGAAACUCCAGCACACUGGUAGCACUAAAGACGUUUGAGUAUAACUUCUCCAGGUGAGUUGAAGCUGCCUGUGCGUGCGGCGGGGAUAUUCCUGGGAGGUCUACUGACGAAGAGGUAUAAGCUUGGCGUUAUGUCUGGAGCCCAGCUGUCUUUCGUCACCUCCUUCAUGGCCUACCUCCUCCUCCCUCUGCAGUCUGGCACUAAGUGUGACAACGUUAAGGUGGCUUGUCUGACCGUGUCCCACAACGGGUCCCCUGGUGUACGAUGGCAGCCUGUUGUCAGAGUGUAACAGAGACUGCUCCUGCUUGGCUGGGGAGUGGGACCCUGUGUGUUCAGACAACGGCAUCACCUACACCUCCCCCUGCCUCGCAGGCUGCUCCAGCUUUACAGGUUACGGCAAGAACACGAUACCAAUUCUAUUAAUGUACUGAGUGUACAAAACAUUCACACGGAUGCUGGGCCAUGUUGACUCCAAUGCUUCCCACAGUUGUGUCAAGUUGGCUGUAUGUCUUUUGAGUGGUGGACCAUUCUUGAUACACACGGGAAACUGUUCAGCAUAAAAAAACACAGCAGCGUUGCAGUUCUUGACACAAACUGGUACCCCUGGCACCUAUUACCAUGCCCCGUUGAAAGGCACGUAAAUAUUUUGUCUUGACUCCCUGUUUAAAUAAAAUGUUUUUUUAAAUUUUUUUUUUACAUUUUAGUCAUUUAGCAGACGCUCUUAUCCAGAGCGACUUACAGUAGUGAAUGCAUACAUUUCAUACUUUUUUUUCCUGUGCUGGCCCCCUUGGGAAUCGAACCCACAACCCUGGCGUUGCAAACACCAUGCUCUACCAACUGUAAAAAACAUCAACAAACACAGGAUAUGGGGUACACAUGGUAUCACAUCAUUACAUACUAGGCCCUACUGCACCUGCAUUCCAGCAUCUGGAAUUGACUCAACAUGUUUGGGGUGGGGGAUCAAUACAUGUGGGGGAAGAGGUGGCUGUCGAAUGUAUGAUUCUUGGGGGGGGUCCAUGUUGGUGUCCAUACACUGAGGUGUGUUUUAAUAUGAAUGAGCAUCAGUGUUGUGAUGUGUCCUAUCCCGUCCUUGCAGAGUGAUCUUCCUUGGACUCAUCACAUGUCUCAGUGGCUCCUCCUUAGGAGGGAGGGGGACAGCCCCCACACUCAUCACUAGAGAUCGAACUUCAGACUCCCUCCAAAACCACUGAACCCCUCAACACACCGAAAGAGAUUAAGGUGCACACCCGUAGAGGGAGCCGGAACAGGAUAACUCCCUCCAAACUCACAAAGACACAGAGGAGGAGGAACUAUCCAACACCCAGGGAGAGAGAACGAGUGACCUCAGUCGAACACAGUCAGAAAGAGGAGGUGGAAGAGGCGUUAGAUAGAGGAGGUUACCCCAGAGGCCAUUCCUCCUGUUAAUGUGACCAAGAAAGAGCAGAAGGCUUCUGAUCAGCCAAAUGGCAGGCAGAGGGAGAGGUCAUAGUGAUUCACACCCACAGAGAGAAAGACAACCCACACAACCUCUUAGUUGAGAUGAACCACACAGAGGUAGAGGCAGAGGGCCUUCAGGGCUAGCCAGUCAGCCUGCCUGCUCUGAUCCUCAAGUCAAUUGUAUUUAAAUUCAUGUUCAUUAAAGUUUUUUUAUUCAAGAA